rnacentral:rRNA from 1 species
GUGCCAGCCGCCGCGGUAAUACAGAGGGGGCAAGCGUUAUUCGGAAUUAUUGGGCGUAAAGGGCGCGUAGGCGGCUUUUCAAGUGACGGGUGAAAUCCCCCGGCUUAACCGGGGAACCGCCUGUCAGACUGAAUGGCUUGAGACCAGGAGAGGUGAGUGGAAUUCCCAGUGUAGCGGUGAAAUGCGUAGAUAUUGGGAGGAACACCAGUGGCGAAGGCGGCUCACUGGACUGGUACUGACGCUGAUGCGCGAAAGCGUGGGGAGCAAACAGGAUUAGAUACCCUGGUAGUCC